GCGUGGAUGAUGAAGGCCUUAGGGUUGUAAAAUCCUUUCACCGGGGACGAUAAUGACGGUACCCGGAGAAGAAGCCCCGGCUAACUUCGUGCCAGCAGCCGCGGUAAUACGAAGGGGGCUAGCGUUGCUCGGAAUUACUGGGCGUAAAGCGCACGUAGGCGGGUCGUUAAGUCGGGGGUGAAAUCCCAGAGCUCAACUCUGGAACUGCCUUCGAUACUGGCGACCUGGACCAAAGUAGAGGCAAGUGGAAUUCCGAGUGUAGAGGUGAAAUUCGU
rnacentral:rRNA from 1 species